UACGAAGGGGGCUAGCGUUGUUCGGAAUUACUGGGCGUAAAGGGCGCGUAGGCGGCGUGUCAAGUCAGGCGUGAAAGCCCCGGGCUCAACCUGGGAACCGCGCUUGAGACUGGCAUGCUCGAGUUCGGGAGAGGAUGGUGGAAUUCCCAGUGUAGAGGUGAAAUUCGUAGAUAUUGGGAAGAACACCGGUGGCGAAGGCGGCUCUCUGGACCGAGACUGACGCUGAGGCGCGAAAGCGUGGGGAGCAAACAGG
rnacentral:rRNA from 1 species